UACGGAGGAUGCAAGCGUUAUCCGGAAUGAUUGGGCGUAAAGCGUCCGCAGGUGGCUGUGUAAGUCUGCUGUCAAAGAACGAGGCUCAACCUUGUCAAGGCAGUGGAAACUACACGGCUAGAGUGCGUUCGGGGCAGAGGGAAUUCCUGGUGUAGCGGUGAAAUGCGUAGAUAUCAGGAAGAACACCGGUGGCGAAAGCGCUCUGCUAGGCCGCAACUGACACUCAUGGACGAAAGCUAGGGGAGCGAAUGGG
rnacentral:rRNA from 1 species